AACCUCAUCAUCAUCCACCCAAAAAUGACCUUACUUUUAUGUUUUUUAUGUAAAGUCCUGUUGGACUCUUCAAGUGUAAUCAAAUUUUGUGAUCAAUGAAAUUCUUUUCUAAAAAAUUUGAACAUUGUGUCUUCUGUUAUGCUUCAAUGAACUGAAUGUUAUAUUUCUCUACUUUGCUUCUUUGAUACUUCACCUUUUUGCUAUGAUGA
rnacentral:lncRNA from 1 species